UACGUAGGGGGCAAGCGUUGUCCGGAUUCAUUGGGCGUAAAGAGCGUGUAGGCGGCUAGGUAGGUCGGUUGUGAAAACUGGAGGCUCAACCUUCAGACGUCGACCGAAACCAUCUGGCUAGAGUCCGGGAGAGGAGAGUGGAAUUCCUGGUGUAGCGGUGAAAUGCGCAGAUAUCAGGAAGAACACCCGUGGCGAAAGCGGCUCUCUGGAACGGUACUGACGCUGAGACGCGAAAGCGUGGGGAGCGAACAGG
rnacentral:misc_RNA from 1 species